GACGAACGCUGGCGGCGUGCUUAACACAUGCAAGUCGAGCGGUAAGGCCCUUUCGGGGGUACACGAGCGGCGAACGGGUGAGUAACACGUGGGUGACCUGCCCUCAGCUCUGGGAUAAGCCUGGGAAACCGGGUCUAAUACUGGAUAUGACUCCAUGACGCAUGUUGUGGGGUGGAAAGCCUUGUGCGGCUGAGGAUGGGCCCGCGGCCUAUCAGCUUGUUGGUGGGGNGAUGGCCUACCAAGGCGACGACGGGUAGCCGGCCUGAGAGGGCGACCGGCCACACUGGGACUGAGACACGGCCCAGACUCCUACGGGAGGCAGCAGUGGGGAAUCUUGCGCAAUGGGCGAAAGCCUGACGCAGCGACGCCGCGUGAGGGAUGACGGCCUGGUGUAAC
rnacentral:rRNA from 1 species